ACGUAGGUGGCGAGCGUUGUCCGGAAUUACUGGGUGUAAAGGGCGCGUAGGCGGGGAUGCAAGUCAGAUGUGAAAUUCCGGGGCUUAACCCCGGCGCUGCAUCUGAAACUGUAUCUCUUGAGUGCUGGAGAGGAAAGCGGAAUUCCUAGUGUAGCGGUGAAAUGCGUAGAUAUUAGGAGGAACACCAGUGGCGAAGGCGGCUUUCUGGACAGUAACUGACGCUGAGGCGCGAAAGCGUGGGGAGCAAACAGGA
rnacentral:rRNA from 1 species